CAGUACUUAUAGAUUUUUUAAAAAUUUGUCUAGGAGGUCUUCCCGUUCUCACCAGAAGACCCUG